GGUCUGUUUCGGCGGCUGGGCGUGCGAGUACGCUCUCUUUCUGCACCCUUGUCUUUUUGCGCACUCAUGUUUCCUCGGCGGGUCUGCCCGCCGGUUGGACAACUCAACCACCUUUUUUUCCAAUAUUUAAUCAGCGUCUGAAAUUAUGAUAAUAAUUACAACUUUCAACAACGGAUCUCUUGGUUCUGGCAUCGAUGAAGAACGCAGCGAAAUGCGAUAAGUAGUGUGAAUUGCAGAAUUCAGUGAAUCAUCGAAUCUUUGAACGCACAUUGCGCCCCUUGGUAUUCCAUGGGGCAUGCUUGUUCGAGCGUCAUUUGUACCCUCAAGCCUUGCUUGGUGUUGGGUGUUUGUCCUUUCCUUUGCGUUUGGACUCGCCUUAAAAUUAUUGGCAGCCAGUGUAAUUGGUUUGAAGCGCAGCACAAUUUGCGAUUUAAGCUGGUCAACACUUGCGUCCAUCAAGGAUCAUUUUAACACUUUUGACCUCGGAUCAAGUAGGGAUACCCGCUGAACUUAAGCAUAUCAAUAAGCGGAGGAAAAGAAACCAACAGGGAUUGCCCUAGUAACGGCGAGUGAAGCGGCAACAGCUCAAAUUUGAAAUCUGGCUCUUUCAGGGCCCGAGUUGUAAUUUGCAGAGGGCGCUUUGGCGUUGGCAGCGGUCCAAGUUCUUUGGAACAGGACGUCACAGAGGGUGAGAAUCCCGUACGUGGUCGCUAUCCUUCGCCGUGUAAAGCCCCUUCGACGAGUCGAGUUGUUUGGGAAUGCAGCUCUAAAUGGGAGGUAAAUUUCUUCUAAAGCUAAAUACUGGCCAGAGACCGAUAGCGCACAAGUAGAGUGAUCGAAAGAUGAAAAGCACUUUGGAAAGAGAGUCAAAUAGCACGUGAAAUUGUUGAAAGGGAAGCGCUUGCAGCCAGACUUGCCUGUAGUUGCUUAUCCGGACUUUUGUCCGGUGCACUCUUCUGCGGGCAGGCCAGCAUCAGUUUGGGCGGUUAGAUAAAGGUCUCUGUCACGUACCU
rnacentral:rRNA from 1 species